rnacentral:pre_miRNA from 1 species
GUUAUUCUUUUUUUUCGUAUCUCCUUCUAUUCCCCGGCCUGUAGCUCUUCCAGAGUUACUACCCGGGUGAAGGAGGAUGGUUGGGUAUGAGAUUAGAGACCACG